rnacentral:piRNA from 1 species
UGUAGUCAAUUUGGUUAACAAGGG